UACGAAGGGGGCUAGCGUUGUUCGGAUUUACUGGGCGUAAAGCGCACGUAGGCGGCACGGCAAGUCGGGAGUGAAAGCCCGGGGCUCAACCCCGGAGGGUCUCUCGAAACUGCCGAGCUAGAGUGCGGAAGAGGCAAUCGGAAUUCCCAGUGUAGCGGUGAAAUGCGUAGAUAUUGGGAGGAACACCAGUGGCGAAGGCGACUACCUGGCCUGUUUCUUGACGCUGAGGCGCGAAAGCUAGGGGAGCAAACGGG
rnacentral:rRNA from 1 species